AGCGAUACUGACGUGCAAAUCGUUCGUCUGACUUGGGUAUAGGGGCGAAAGACUAAUCGAACCAUCUAGUAGCUGGUUCCCUCCGAAGUUUCCCUCAGGAUAGCUGACGCCCAUUACGAGUUCUAUCAGGUAAAGCCAAUGAUUAGAGGCAUUGGGGACGCAACGUCCUCGACCUAUUCUCAAACUUUAAAUAGGUAGGAUGGCUCGGCUG
rnacentral:ncRNA from 1 species